rnacentral:rRNA from 1 species
UUGGUAACCACUUUUUGUCAGGCAUCUGGCCAACACAUAAACUAUGAUAAAUCUUCUGUAUUCUUUGCUAAGUGGUUCCUAGAAAAUGUCAAAGAGGAAGUAAAAAUGUUUUUGCGUGUUUCAAAUUAAACCUUGAAGGAGAAAUACCUAGGUAUGCCAUCUGAUGUGGGCUCAUCGAACAACGGUGCCUUCAAGUAUUUGAAGGAUUAUCUAUGGAGCAGAGUCCAUGGCUGGAUUGAGAAAACUAUGUCCUCGGCUGGGAAGGAAGUCAUGUUCAAGUCUGUUGCACAAGCAGUGCCAUAUCAUGUUUCAAGCUGCCUAGAGGUUUAG